rnacentral:sRNA from 1 species
AGCCUUUAGUCUGCCUGCGCGUUCACAUGCACCCACUUACUUGUUGAAGUCUACUCCUCACAAGUAAGGGCUAUGGUGCGGGGUGCCCGAUUCCUGAGAAAUCUGAAGAUGUGGAAGUUUAUUUUUUCUUCCCAAAAUCAGCAGUAGAGGGACUCAGGUGAGGAGACCAAAGUACAACACACAGCUCUUUUAUUGCCAGUAGAAACAUUAAACAGAGAGAGACCUGAACCAUCUCUAAAGAUAGUCGAACUGGAUGAU